rnacentral:rRNA from 1 species
UGGGGAAUAUUGCACAAUGGAGGGAACUCUGAUGCAGCGACGCCGCGUGAACGAAGAAGGCUUUCGAGUCGUAAAGUUCUUUUAUAUGGGAAGAUAAUGACGGUACCAUAAGAAAAAGCCCCGGCUAACUACGUGCCAGCAGCCGCGGUAAUACGUAGGGGGCUAGCGUUGUCCGGAAUCACUGGGCGUAAGGGGUUCGCAGGCGGAAAUGCAAGUCAGGUGUAAAAGGCAGUAGCUUAACUACUGUAAGCAUUUGAAACUGCAUAUCUUGGGAAGAGUAGAGGUAAGUGGAAUUUUUAUUAUAGCGGUGAAAUGCGUAGAUAUUAAAAAGAAUACCGGUGACGAAGGCGACUUACUGGGCUCAUUCUGACGCUGAGGAACGAAAGCGUAGGUAGCAAACAGG